rnacentral:lncRNA from 1 species
GCUCUUGGGCUCAUUGGGAGAGAAUUCUGAGCUCUGCAGAGGUGCAGGUAUGGGAUGUACCAUUUUAGGACAGGAAUACUACAGUUGCUCCUGGAUUCCAGCAACCUGACUGUAAGCAAAUAAGCAGACAGGAAAAUGGAAGCGAUGUUGGAAAGUGAUAUGCAACUCCAACAGGCAGAACUGAAGUUUCUUGUGAAAAUAAGCCAGGAUCACCUAUACUUAAUUCAGGAGUGAGGUUCAGUGAUCUCAGCUGAAUCAUCAAGAAACUUUUACAGCUACUGGAGAAAAUUCUGCUUGUCAACUGCGGUAUGUUGAUAUAUCUCAAAUAUUUCAUUUUUGGGGGCAACGAGACUUGCUUUCUU